ACCUCGCCCGCUCCCGCCUCCCAGCCAAUCACUGCGCUGCUCGCCUCACAGCGAGGGCGGGACAUGGAGGCGGUGGGACAGCAGCGUCCUUCAAUCCCUGGCCGCCUCUCCCUUAGCUACAGCGCGCAGCUGAGGGGACGCCUUCCCGCCUAGCGACCGGCGGCCAAUCAGCGGUGCCCCUCGGUGUGAGGGGGCGAUGGCGGCGGCCGGGGAGGAAGAAGGAGAAGGUGGCGGCAGCGGCGGCGGCUGAAGCGCGGCUUUAUCUUCGACAGAUGCGCGGCUGUGAAGCUUAGCGGGGCUCGGCUCAGCUCAGCUCAGCUCGGCGCGGGGCCGUCCAGGAGCUGCUGGGCGAAGGCUUGUUCCGGCUUUGAUACCCCAUAGUGAUCCAGAGAAACUCAUCGACACUCCAUAGAGCCCCGUACACCCUGUAGACAUCCCAUAGAGAUGUAUGGUGACCGAUAGACACCUGACAGCAACCCAUGGACCCUCCAUAGCGACCCAUAUAGAUCCCAUAGUGAGACAAGGAAGUACAAAAUGAAAUAUAAUCCUUUGUAAAUAAGAAAAUUCAGUUUUAAGUAACUUUAAGCUUGGUAGCUUUGUACAUAACAACAAAACUUUCCAAACUUAAAAAGCCCAACCAAAAGGACAUAAUAAGGAUCCUUGUAUAAGAUAAAUCUUUGUAGCUGACAUAGUUUUAGAACCUUAUGACCUUCAUACAAAAUUUAUUGCAACCAAAACAGAACUGUAGCUAAAGAGUAUCUGAAACUAGCAGAUGUUCAGGAGGUGCUGUAGCGAAGUUAACUGGUAAGUAGAAGGACAAGGAGAAAUCACUCACUUAUGUCAGCAGUGUUACUGAACUAAUUAAGCUGGUGUAAGCAUUUUCCUACUGCGCAUGCUUCAAAGACUUCCCGAACAAAGUUCAAGGAACGGCCAAGUGAUGAAGAUUGUUGGAAGAAGUAAAAUGACCACCAAAGACCACUACCAUGUUGUUAUGUGCAUGCGAAAAUGGGUGUGUAAUUAUGUAAAACAAUUCUCAGACAACUAAUGAAUAUGUAUGACAUUUAUUGGAAAUGUAAUGAAUAUGUGUGUUAAGCAACAAUAUAAUCACGGUCUGUUUGAUGCUUAAACGAGACACACAUUAGGAGGAGAUAUCCCUGGUGUCUCCCAGUGCUGCAAUAAAGAAAACCUGCUUGUCAACUUAAA